GCAUCCUACCACCUUUAAACAUCAACAUAUGAUGAAAACCCGAUUUUUGAAAAUCGGGGUGAAACCAAUAACUUCCCGAACUUUUUGAAAAUCGUCGAUUUUCUUAGCGGGAAGUUAAAAAAUCGUUUUUUGUUUGUAUACUUGCCGUUUUUCAGGAUUUUUUAGCCAUUUUUUGCAAUUUACUCUAAUUCUGGAGGCUUGAAGAGCUAAAUAAUCUCCAUAUUCAAAUGCAACGCAUCGAAAUACAUAAGGAACAUUCUUGAUUUAGGUCAAAAAAAGUAUGUUCGCUUGCAUAAUUGCAUUUUUUGCGAUUUUUAACCAUUUUUGGCGUUUCUCUGCAAUUUACUUUAAUUUUGGAGGCUUGAAGAGUUAAAUAAUCUCUAUAUUUGGAUUGAGCGCAUCGAAAUACAUAAGGGACAUACUUGAUUGACGUCGAAAAAAAUGUUUUCGCUUGCAUAACUGCAUUUUUUUCGCGAUUUUUAGCCAUUUUUGACGGUUUUUUACAAUUCACUCGAAAUUUUGGGGGUGUACGGGCCAAACCGACCACAAAUUUGGAUUUAGCGCAUCGAAAUAUAUACCGCUUAGUAGGUCUAGUCGAAUGUACAAACCACUUUUUUUUUUUUUGUGCGCCGGUGUAAUGAAUCAAUCGCUAACUUUACGAGAUCCAAUGAUCUUUUGGGUGAAACGAGUGACACGAUUACUGGUCAUAAAAUUCCAACCAAUAAGCAAGUUGAAAAAUUAUUUUAUUAUCACACCAGACAAUAAAAAAAAAAAUACUUGCAGCAAGUUAGUCAGUAGUCAUAGAUGAGGUGUGCAAAUUUUGGCGCAGAGCCGGAAUUCCAGUACAAAAAAACGAUCUAUGUGUAAAAAAAUUAUAAAAUCUCUACAGCACAUACAGAAAUCUGCAAAAGCUCAAAUUUGGUUCGCGAGAAAGAGUUUUUCGAAUGCCUUGAGAAAUUAUUUGAUAUAGCUCAUGGCGAUGCUCAAAAUACAGUUGAUAGUGGCACGGCAGAUUUUUUACAUGAUCAGAGGACAGAAAGAAAGUGUCACUUACGUGUUUGUAAGCAAAACGAUGAUUCUUUUGAGUCACCUAAAAAACCUGUUCUUGACGAAGACAUUGAUACCACUACAACUCAAUCUAUUGAUAACAGCGGAUCAACAUCUUAUAAUGUUUAUUUAACACUCUCUGAUGAACAUCGUCCAGAUUCAGACAUAACUUUACCAGCGAGCGCAAAAAGUACAUCUGAGAAACCUUUUAGUGGCGAAACAUCAACGUCAUUGUCUCUGCAAAGCACAUUUUCAAUGUUUGAAUCACAGGGGCGAAAUUAUGAAACGAACCAUGAGAGGAACAAUAAAUAUUCUGACAGAACAUUUUGUUGCUACUUUAGACAAUUGUAAAAUUUCUUAUAGAAAUUCCGUAAGAAUCAUAUCAGCUGUAAUGACGGCCCUGGGAGUUGAUACUGAUAAUUUAAUUCUCAACAAGAAUUUGUUUAAUGAACGUAGGUUGAAAAUUCGGAAGGAAACUGCUGAACGGAUGAAGAUGUUAUUCGGUGAUACUGACGUUAGAGCUGCGGUGGUACGUUGGGACGGAAAAUUGAUACCUGAUAGACUAUCUUGUAAAAGGGUUGACCGAGUACCUAUAAUAAUUAGAAGCAAGACUGUCGAAAAAAUAUUAAACGUACCGACAUUACCUGAUGGAAAAGGAGUAACUCAGGCUCACGAAAUUUUAAAGAACGUUAAAGAAUGGGGAUUAUCUGAAAAUAUCCAAGCAAUUUAUUGUGAUACUACUACUUUGAAUCUUGGUUGUCGAAAUGGAGUGGCAAUCAAUUUAAAAUAAAUGUUACAAAAAGAUCUUCUAUAUCUACUUUGUAGGCAUCAUAUUUACGAAUAGGUCUUGAAUUGUGUUUUUGUUACAAAAAUCCCAGGAACUGAUGGGCCAAACGUUCCUUUAUUUAAGAAAUUUCAAGAAAAUUGGAAUCUAGUUGAUCAAACUAAAUAUAAAAAUGGUCUAACAGGAAAUAAAAUUCUCAAAAAAUUGUUAAUAAAAGUUGAAAAUACAAACAAGACGAUUAAAAACUUUUGAGGUGAAAUUUUACCUCGCGAUAAUUAUAAAGAACUUUUGGAGUUGUGUCAAAUUUUUCUCGAUACGAUGGAAGAUGAUCGUGUCAAAUUUUAUAAACCAGGAGCAUUUUACCAUGCUCGCUGGAUGUCAAAAGCGAUUUAUUCACUGAGAAUAUAUAUUUUCCGGGAUAUUUUUUAAGGUAGAUUUUACAACACAACAAAGUCUUUUGGAUGUUUGUUUAUUCAUAGUAUUUGUUUACGUGCCAUUUUGGUUUACGUCACCUCUUGCAGCAUCAGCUCCAUAUCAAGACUUAAAUUUUGUGAAAACAGUAUAUCAAUACAGAACAAGUGAUAAGAAACUUUCUGAUGCAGUCUUGCACAAAUUUAAAAAUUAUUUGUGGUAUUUAAAUGCUGAAACUGCUGCUCUGAUGGCUUUUUUCGAUCCAAAUAUACCACUUUCUAUAAAACAUGAAAUGAUUAAAGCAUUUAAAUAUCAUGAAGAUUUAAAUUUUGAUUCCCCUAAACGCUGCAUAGUAAAUUCAGACAGUGAAAUUAUCAAUUUACAAAAAAAAAAUUUUGACUUUUUUAUUAAUUUUAAUUCGAGUAAGUUAUUUGAUCGAUUCAACAUAAAUAAAAAAUUUUUCGAGUUUAAUGUUGAAACAUGGUCUACCAAUAAUGAUUACUUGGAAGGUUUGAACAUCGUUAAUAAUCUGCAAGCUAUUAAUGAUGUGGCUGAAAGAGCGGUUCAAUUGAGUUAAGACUACAUCAACAUUUUGACUACUAAAGAAGAACAAAAAUAGUAUUUAGUGCAAGUUGUACGUGAAUAUAGAGAUACUUAUCCUAACGCUACAAAAAGAUGUUAAACAAAGAAAUAUGAUUAAAAACAGAAAAAAUAUAUAUCGUAACUAUUAAACUUGUUCAAUAAAAUUUUUGAA